CCAUGUGACCAUACCAAACUGUUGCCUCGGCGGGGUCACGCCCCGGGUGCGUCGCAGCCCCGGAACCAGGCGCCCGCCGGAGGGACCAACCAAACUCUUUUCUGUAGUCCCCUCGCGGACGUUAUUUCUUACAGCUCUGAGCAAAAAUUCAAAAUGAAUCAAAACUUUCAACAACGGAUCUCUUGGUUCUGGCAUCGAUGAAGAACGCAGCGAAAUGCGAUAAGUAAUGUGAAUUGCAGAAUUCAGUGAAUCAUCGAAUCUUUGAACGCACAUUGCGCCCGCCAGUAUUCUGGCGGGCAUGCCUGUCCGAGCGUCAUUUCAACCCUCGAACCCCUCCGGGGGGUCGGCGUUGGGGACCUCGGGAGCCCCUAAGACGGGAUCCCGGCCCCGAAAUACAGUGGCGGUCUCGCCGCAGCCUCUCCUGCGCAGUAGUUUGCACAACUCGCACCGGGAGCGCGGCGCGUCCACGUCCGUAAAACACCCAACUUCUGAAAUGUUGACCUCGGAUCAGGUAGGAAUACCCGCUGAACUUAAGCAUAUCAAUAAGCGGAGGAA
rnacentral:rRNA from 1 species